AUGCCUGAACUUGUGUACGCCAAUCUGUCUUGCAUUCCGAAUCUCGAUUGCGCCUCCGCCCCGCCGCCGCGCCCUUUCUGCGCCUCCGCGGCGGCCUACCUUGCCCUCCACCUCGCCGCGCCUGUGGCCGUCGUCGUCGUCUGGUGGCUCUGGAGGAACCUCCUGCUUCUGCCUAUGCCUCUGGAGGGGUUCGCGGGUGGUGGAGACGGCCGCCGCCUGCCGGAGCAGCAGCCGCCCCGCACCCACACCUUGGUGGACGCGAACGGUGUCGCAGUCGCCGCCGCAGCCGCCCGCGGCUUCUUCGAAGAGGAAGAGACCACCCGUCCAAUCCUCCUCCGUCGCAGGGCGCCCCACGCCGGCGCCGACGGGUACUUCCGAUACCCGCAAAUCCGCUACCUCGAAGCAGUUCCUCAAGCCCGCCUCAUCGACCCCGAAUCCAUGGAGGAGAUGACGCGGGGGCGGCGCCACGCCGUCGGCAUGCUCAGGCAAGCCGCGAUCCACUACGACGACCCCAUCCGCAGAUUGUCCAAUGUCGAAGGAAACCCAUCAGUUUUUCAGGGAGAUCCUUGUGUGUUGGCCACAGAAUCAACUGAUAUUGUUAUCAAGCUAAAAAUUGCUACUGCACUUGUCUGUUUAAUAUGGCGAGAACUGAAUGGGAACAGUCAGCAAUUAUGUCAAGAAGUAAAAGAAGAGUGCUUUUCAUUGGUUGCUGGGCAAUCUGUGGAGAAGCUCCUUGAGCUAGCACGUUCAUUCAGCGAGGCAAGCUGGUGUGCUUGCCAUGUUAAGGAAGUGCUGACUAUCGUUGACGCAAUCGUUGAUGUCCUGUACAAUUUACAGGGCUUACCUUUGAACAGAUCUGGUGAGAUUGCUGUUAUGGCGAGUAAGAUGGUGGCUACUUUAAGUGGAGUACUUGAUCAAGCUGCAAGUGGCAUCGAUAACAGUGAAGAAUCUACCAUUCAUCCAGCAACUGUUGUUUUCAAUCAAGUCCUGGAGUUUUUCGACAGCAACACAGAUAUGGUGCAGUUAAUACUCGCCACUGGAGAUUGCACCGUUGAUCCUUACUCUCACGUGUUUGACUGCUGGGUAUCGAAGCUGGAGGAAGAUGCAAAAAAGAUGUGCCAAGCUGAAAAGGACCGAGAAUACAUAAUCCUCUUGAAUAAUGCAUGUGAUGUUUGGCAGAUGAUGCGCCGUCCAGGAGCACCGUUUUGGAAUGUAGAACUGGUGAGCAGGCUCAUUUGUAUGAUCCAGAGAUACAGAAGGGGCUACUUUGAGGAAUGUUGGGCUCCACUUGUACUGUCAUUGAUGAAGGAAGAUUAUCUGAAGAACCCGCGCCGUUCAUCCUUGGCUGAAUUUACUCAAGGAUUUGUCAGUAUCUGCGAUCGCCAGAUGACCUGGAAGGUUGUACCUAGUCUUAAGUACGAACUGCGAGACGAGAUAAAGAAUCUAGUGGUUAUACCAUACAAGGCCUUCCUGCAUGCACUGGCACUGCAGGCAAAUCGGAGAGGACUUUCAUUGAAGCGAUUGAUGUCACGAAGGAGUCGUCAGAAUGAGUAUACUGCUGAGCAGUUGGAAAACAAGAUUGGUGAGUUUUUUGAAAGCUGA
rnacentral:rRNA from 1 species